rnacentral:rRNA from 1 species
AGAGUUUGAUCCUGGCUCAGGACGAACGCUGGCGGCGUGCUUAACACAUGCAAGUCGAACGGAAAUAGUAGAGUAUUUAUAUGAAGCUAUUUUAGUGGCGGACGGGUGAGUAACACGUGGGUAACCUGCCCUAUGGAGGGGGAUAACACAUAGAAAUGUGUGCUAAUACCGCAUAACGUGACACCGGCGCAUGCCGGAGUCAUCAAAGAUUUAUUGCCAUAGGAUGGACCCGCGGCCCAUUAGCUAGUUGGUGAGGUAACGGCUCACCAAGGCGACGAUGGGUAGCCGAUCUGAGAGGAUGAACGGCCACAUUGGAACUGAGACACGGUCCAGACUCCUACGGGAGGCAGCAGUGGGGAAUAUUGCACAAUGGGGGAAACCCUGAUGCAGCAACGCCGCGUGAGUGACGAAGGCCUUCGGGUUGUAAAACUCUGUCUUAGCUGACGAUAAUGACGGUAAGCUAGGAGGAAGCCACGGCUAACUACGUGCCAGCAGCCGCGGUAAUACGUAGGUGGCGAGCGUUGUCCGGAAUUACUGGGCGUAAAGGGAGCGUAGGCGGUUUUUUAAGUGGGAUGUGAAAUCCCCGGGCUUAACCUGGGAAUGGCAUUCCAAACUGGGAAACUAGAGUGCAGGAGAGGAAAGUGGAAUUCCAAGUGUAGCGGUGAAAUGCGUAGAGAUUUGGAGGAACACCAGUGGCGAAGGCGACUUUCUGGACUGUAACUGACGCUGAGGCUCGAGAGCGUGGGGAGCAAACAGGAUUAGAUACCCUGGUAGUCCACGCUGUAAACGAUGAAUACUAGGUGUUGGGGGCUAAGCCCUCAGUGCCGCAGUUAACACAUAAAGUAUUCCGCCUGGGGAGUACGAUCGCAAGAUUAAAACUCAAAGGGAAUUGACGGGGGCCCGCACAAGCAGCGGAGCAUGUG